rnacentral:rRNA from 1 species
CUGCUGCCUCCCGUAGGAGUCUGGGCCGUGUCUCAGUCCCAGUGUGGGGGCCUUCCUCUCAGAACCCCUACGCAUCGUCGCCACGGUGGGCCGUCACCCCGCCGUCUAGCUAAUGCGCCGCAUGCCCAUCCGCCACCGGAUCGCUCCUUUGGCCACCGGAGGAUGCCCUCCGGUGGCGUCACGGGGUAUUAGGCCGCGUUUCCGCGGGUUAUCCCCCUGUGGCGGCCAGGUUGCAUACGUGUUACUCACCCGUGCGCCGGUCGCCGGCGGG